GUUGAACGCUGGCGGCAUGCCUAACACAUGCAAGUCGAACGGUAACGCGAAGAGCUUGCUCUUUGGCGACGAGUGGCGGACGGGUGAGUAAUACCUAGGAAUCUGCCCAGUAGUGGGGGACAACUCGGGGAAACUCGAGCUAAUACCGCAUACGCCCUAAGGGGGAAAGCGGGGGAUCUUCGGACCUCGCGCUAUUGGAUGAGCCUAAGUCGGAUUAGCUUGUUGGUGAGGUAAAGGCUCACCAAGGCGACGAUCCGUAGCUGGUCUGAGAGGACGAUCAGCCACACUGGGACUGAGACACGGCCCAG
rnacentral:rRNA from 1 species